GUUUAAUAUUGCCAUGCCUCAAAGCUUUAUCAGUGUUGGUGUUGUGGGGUUCCUUUGUGUCCAGCAGGUGACGUCUGUUUUGACGAUAUACCUGUCCAUCAGCAGUACGCACAUGAUACUAUCUCUAAGCAUUAGCUGCUUUUAUGAUAUAUUCUAACUGUCUGUCCGUCAUUGAGCUGAGAUAAUGGUCUGGCCGACCUAUCAUAGGUGCUCUUUGGCUGUCGUUGCUUCUCCAGCCUUUUGGCUGUGCUGUAGAUUACCUCCGACAGCUUCUUUUUGGAGUGGAGUAGUAAACCGUAGGCGGUGGCUCAUUAGCAACUGUCUUGGAGACUUGAAUUCAUCAACAGAGCUUUUGCAAUAUUCCAGGAAACGGAGAUAUGUGUCCCUUGUAUCAGUCCAGGCCUUUUCCAGCAGUAACUUUGCACUUUACCAUACAAACUCACAUGAUUCUUUCAGGAGCUGGCGCAGUGGUGCAUUGAUAUUGGCGAGGCUGGGUGCAACUUUCGAGAG